rnacentral:rRNA from 1 species
CACGUAGGGCGCAAGCGUUGUCCGGAAUUAUUGGGCGUAAAGAGCUCGUAGGCGGUCUGUUGCGUCCGCUGUGAAAACUCGGGGCUUAACCCCGAGCCUGCAGUGGAUACGGGCAGACUAGAGUACUGCAGGGGAGACUGGAAUUCCUGGUGUAGCGGUGAAAUGCGCAGAUAUCAGGAGGAACACCGGUGGCGAAGGCGGGUCUCUGGGCAGUAACUGACGCUGAGGAGCGAAAGCGUGGGGAGCGAACAGG